GCACGGGUGAGUAACACGUAUCCAACCUGCCGAUGACUCGGGGAUAGCCUUUCGAAAGAAAGAUUAAUACCCGAUGGCAUAGUUCUUCCGCAUGGUAGAACUAUUAAAGAAUUUCGGUCAUCGAUGGGGAUGCGUUCCAUUAGGUUGUUGGCGGGGUAACGGCCCACCAAGCCUUCGAUGGAUAGGGGUUCUGAGAGGAAGGUCCCCCACAUUGGAACUGAGACACGGUCCAAACUCCUACGGGAGGCAGCAGUGAGGAAUAUUGGUCAAUGGACGAGAGUCUGAACCAGCCAAGUAGCGUGAAGGAUGACUGCCCUAUGGGUUGUAAACUUCUUUUAUACGGGAAUAAAGUGAGGCACGCGUGCCUUUUUGUAUGUACCGUAUGAAUAAGGAUCGGCUAACUCCGUGCCAGCAGCCGCGGUAAUACGGAGGAUCCGAGCGUUAUCCGGAUUUAUUGGGUUUAAAGGGAGCGUAGGCGGACGCUUAAGUCAGUUGUGAAAGUUUGCGGCUCAACCGUAAAAUUGCAGUUGAUACUGGGUGUCUUGAGUACAGUAGAGGCAGGCGGAAUUCGUGGUGUAGCGGUGAAAUGCUUAGAUAUCACGAAGAACUCCGAUUGCGAAGGCAGCCUGCUGGACUGUAACUGACGCUGAUGCUCGAAAGUGUGGGUAUCAAACAGGAUUAGAUACCCUGGUAGUCCACACAGUAAACG
rnacentral:rRNA from 1 species